AUGAUCAGAUGGAAAAUAUUCUAGAGAAUGAAAAUAUUCUGUCUAGGGAAUGAUGCCUCAAAAGAAUUAAAGAAAGAACUGUGGUUGCAAUCUUCAACAAUCCUGCGUAACAAUAUUGCGAUACGAAUUACUUGUAAUCUAAAAUUGAGCGAAGAUGGUGGACGAGAGUAGCAACGCAGAAGCUGCUCACCUCUGGAAGGCGUUGAGCGAAGAUGAAAUCAAAGUAAAUUGCAGUUGGUUCCGUGUCCUCCACUUCCAAAUCAGUCGCUCUUCUCAGAUCCUGAUUGAAGUGAUUGACGAAUUUGGUAGAUUGGUCCACCCAUCAAAGUGUGAAGUUCCCUUGAUGGAUUUAGUCGUAAUAAUUUAAAAAAAAAAUUGUUAUUGUUGUCCAUGUUGUUGGCUGAGACACUGAAGAUGACAUCUUGUGGCCAGGUUUGUCUUCAGUUGUAGGGCGUAGGCUAGCCCUUUAGCCCCUACCUUCUUGGUUCAUUCACUUCAUUGUUAGGUUGAAUCAUGAGGUUCUGAGAGAAAGAGUCGCCAUUUUUAGACCUUUUUAUUUUUGGGGGUUUUGAUGUUAGCUUGAUUGCCACUUGUGAGGCAUUUCUUAGAAUGUGAUGGGUUUAAAGUUGGUUCGGGUUGGCGGUUCGUGAGCUUGCUAUUAUUCUUGAUGAAUUUUGAUGCUGAAUGACUUGGAAACCAUGCUGUCCACCACGCCGAGAAGCUGAGAAACAUUCUGCUUGUACAAUGGCACCUCUUAAUAAAAGGAACUUGAGCCAUCCAAUCUAGGGCUUCCAUCCAAUCGUGCAGGCUGCAUGGAAGUCACAUUUACCUUUGCUGUGAACAUCAUGAACACAUACACUAUUUGAAGGUUCAUGUUUAUGUAACAGUGGUGUUGUUGCAGCCUUUGGUGGUGAAAGAUAUCUGCAUCAAGUUGCUGUUCCUGUGGUGUGUUGUUGCAGCCUAUGGUGGUUAAAGAUAUCUGCAUCGAGUUGCUGUUCCUUGUGCAUCCAAGGUGCUGGUUUUGUGCUACAGAAGUUGCAUUCAGUAUUGAGUUUAAUUGGCUUCGUGUCUAUGUAGUUUACCUUUUACAUGUUGAUAAGAAACAAAAAAAGUAAUACUGGGAGGAUUAUGUCAAACAAAUAAUAAACAUGUCAGGGAUGGGGAAAUGAGGAGGAAGUUGGGGUGGGGUAUUUGGUUAUGAUUUACUAAAAGAAGUGAGGUAUAUUUGUAAUGAAUAUGCAGUACUUUGUGAUAAAAACUGUUGUUAACCUAUACCUUCCUGUCAACCUAUACCUCCCCUACUUCCACUUACACAUCUAUUCCUAAAACCCCAUAAGCACCAACAUCAAAUCCCACAUAUCCAAUCACAUCCAUUCCUAAAACCCCACAAUCACCAAACACCCAACAUUCACACAAUUUUUGUAUAUGUAUAAUUAAAUUUUAAUAAAUAAAAUGCAUUGUAUAUAA